GCGCCGGUGGUGUAAGGCGAACAUCGCUGCCCGGAAAGCAGAAGCUGCGGGUUCGAGUCCCGCCUGGCACA
rnacentral:tRNA from 1 species